rnacentral:misc_RNA from 1 species
UCACCGCUUACGCGGGCAGUUUCAUUAGAGUCCCCAGCAUAACCUGAUGGCAACUGGAGACGAGGGUUGCGCUCGUUGCGGGACUUAACCCAACAUCUCACGACACGAGCUGACGACAGCCAUGCAGCACCUGUGCUGACUCCGGCCGAACCGAAGGCUCCAUCUCUGGAGCCGGCGAGUCACAUGUCAAGGGCUGGUGAGGUUCUUCGCGUUGCGUCGAAUUGAACCACAUGCUCCACCGCUUGUGCGGGCCCCCGUCAAUUCCUUUGAGUUUCAGCCUUGCGGCCGUACUCCCCAGGCGGGGUACUUAAUGCGUUAGCGCCGGCACUCAGGGGGUCGCUCCCCCAAGCACCUAGUACCCAUCGUUUACGGCGUGGACUAC